rnacentral:lncRNA from 1 species
ACUGGCUGGUGAGACAAUGCUACCCUGAGCAGAGUGCUGAAAUAGAGAUGCACUCAAGUACACCAAGAAGCAGAGGGUCCAAUUUCCAGCCCUGCUACUUACUAAGGCUGCAGUCUUGGAGAUCAGCUUUGCAAGCCAGGCAUCUCAGUGAAUGACACCAUGACCAAAGUUCUGCCCUUCUCAAUCACCACUUUCCUGAUGGAUGCCUGUUCAUUCUAAAUCUAUGCUACUGAAGGAGUCGUUCAGUGACUCACCUGAACAAACAUCUCUUUCAGGACUUCUCUCCCCACCUCUAGUUCCAGAAGAGGCUGGAAUUAUUUUUCAGGAGCAGCGAUACGAUCCUGAUAGCAACAAUAUGUAUUCAAAAAGCAACAACUAUUGAAGGGUGUGAAUGAGAUGGGAGCCUUUUCCUUUGAAUCAUAACACAACAUCAUGUUUUGUCCUCAGAGUAACUAGAGUGACAUGGAAUUGACAUUGGAUGCACUGGUCAGGGCAGAGGGAGAAAGCAGCCGGGGUGGUAGAUGGCUUUGUCUAUCUUCUUCUCUUUUGGCCUGGAAGCUAAGCAGUUAGGAGCAAGUCUACCUGUCCUUAUUAGCUGACCAACUGAGGGUGACCCUGGGGAACAGAUGAAGAAGAACAGAAAGAAGAUUCCAGGACUGGAUUUCUACCCCAGCAUAACUCUUGAAUGGAUUAAGCCAGCACCCCUUGAAUGUGAACUCUUGAGACUACGGAGCGACUGUGAUUGCUGCAGUGCAGAGUACAAAUUCGUUCAAGAAAACUGCCCUGGCCAGGUGUGGUGGCUCAAGCCUGUAAUCCCAGCACUUCAGGAGGCUGAGGUGGGUGUAUCACCUGAGGUCAGGAGUUCGAGACCAGCCUGCCCAACAUGGUGAAACUUCGUCUCUACAAAAAGACAAAAAUUACCCAGGCACGAUGGUAGGUGCCUGUAAUCCCAGCUACUUUGGAGGCUGAGGCGGGAGAGUCGCUUGAACCGGGGAGGCAGAGGUUGCAGUGAGCAGAGAUUGCACCACUGCACUCCAGCCUGGGUGACAGAGCCAGGCUCCGUCUCAAAACAAAAACAAAACCAAAAACAAACAAACAAAAAAAAAACUGCCUUGUUUUUCUGAAAGCCUUGGGCCCUCACCUGUGUUUGUUCUGGAGCCCCAGGCAGCUGCCCUUACCUGCUCUCUUUUUCCAGGGACCUCUGGUCAAACAAAUCAAUUUAAAACAUCAAGUGCUGGAGGAACACAAACACAGGCAGCAGGAGAGGCCUCAAGGUGCCAGGCUCUGCUUUCAGCGGCUCUGGGUUUCCAAGCACGUUCCAAAAAUAUAACCCCCACUGCCAUGGCAAACCUGCCUUUGAUAAAACACAAUGUACAAUCUCUAAUGUUGACACAGAACAGAUGGGACUUUGAUUUUUUAAAAAUCUGUUCUUGAUAGAAGUGAAAUAGGCAUAAUGGAUUUUUCCCUUUUUUUUUUGGAUUUGGACUUCUAUUUUUUUCUUAUCACAUGCAUACCGAACACAGAAUCUUUCCAUUCUCUCUCUUUGUUUCUGUCAUAGGUUAUUUCUGUAAGUAAGAGUCUCUGGUUGACCAAGUCUUGCUUUUCUCAUUAACCAAACAGGAUGCAGAUUACUAGCCCCAUGUCCCUUUUAUCUGGGGAAAAAAAAAAAUCAGUCAUGGGAGCCACACACCAAGGGUGUCCUCAGACUUAGAGGCAACAAGACAAUGGCUUAUCAACAACGAUGUACUGAGUGACUGCUGAGCAGGGGGUACAGUAAGGGGAGGGGGAAGUUAUCCCUCACCUACCCCACAUGCAAUCGUAAUCUAAAUGCAGAAUGGACCUGCCAUGCCAACUCAGCCUGAAUACAAGCCCCAACAGAUUGCAGCCCGUAAACCCCUCCUAAACACGCCUUUAGAGCUGCCCCCGGUCACAAAACAAGCCCUUUCCAAGCCCUCCAUAACUCCUCAGAGCAUCGUCUGUGCACAGGGUGUUCUUGCAGGGAGGGAGUCACCCCUCACAUGAUUCCAUUCCCAUAACAACAGUUGUUACAGGGGCAGAAUGCAACAGACACUGACAGACGGAUUUAGGCCCUCUACGUUAACCCUAAAUUGUCUGACUAGAUGAUGAUAGGCGUGCCUGACAGUCAGUGGCUCAAGCCACAUUACACCUUACUCUUAUACUUUAUUUCCUUCUAUCCUACAAGACUCCUGGGCAGGAGGUGAAAUUUAAAGAGAGGGAAAGAGAAACGCAGCAAAGAAUCAUGGCUCAGGGUAGUGGGAUGUUCUGCUCUAUGUCGAGAGUGGCUUAGCUUUUGUUUUCAAUCCGGCAGGCUUCUUCUAGGGCAGUUGGAUUGAUUCAAAGGGAUGAAAGGCAGAGUUGUGUGGAAGAGGGAGCACAAGUUUCAAUGGCCCUCCCAAGUCCGGUUCACAGUCCCACCACUCUAUAGGGAUUGGUGUGGUGGGAAGAGGGCUGAGGGAGAUUUACUAGGUUAUGAGACUGGUAAAGAAUACACACUGGGAAUCUUACCUCAUAUUCUCCUAGAUUCCAAUCUCUCCAACACAAAUUAAAUUGCCCUAACCAUUUUUCUAGAAUGAUCUGGAAAUAUGAACUAUUCAUAUUUCUUUCCCAACUAUUUCACAGAAAAAAUGUUUAUACAGAAUUUUUAAAAAAGUUACAGAGACAAAAAAGAUUGAUGCAUUAUUUCAUUUUGUGAGCUAGCUACAAAAAAGAAGUCUAUUUAUAUUUUUUAUCUAUUCCACAUGCAUUAGCAGAGCAUCCUCUUGGUGGAUUUCCAAAACCCGAUGUUGUGGCAUGCAACAAAGAGGACACUUGUCAUUCUAUUUGCCCUGUUAAUGGUAAGUUUCAUGGUACAUCAUAGGUGUUCAAUACAUGUUUUGACUUUUUAAAAAGUUUGCUUUCACUGUCAUGAUUUAGUUCAUGAGCAUUUAGUAAACAAGCAGGAGGAGAAGGAUCCCCUCAACACUGAUGACAACGAUGAUGAUGAUGUUAGUAAUGAAGAGGAAACAAGAUAGAAAAAGAACCUGUAUGUAGGGUAACCUGUCAAUUUUCUAAUGAGCAUGCCUAGGUCAAAUGAGAGUGCCGGGGUCUUAAUUCAAAUCCCUCUUCUACCACUUAGCAGGAAGCAUCAACAAGGCACAGUAUGACCCAUUCUCACUUUCUUUGUCUUUAACUAGAAAUAAAGAUUCCUCACAAGCUGUGAAAAUCAAAUAAGAAAAUUGUAUGCAAAAGUACUUUGUAAAUGGGGUCAUACAAAUAUAAGAAGGUAAUUUCAUUAUCAAUUGCUAAGAACCACAUAGGCCUCUCAGGAUCCAUUUAAGUUUUAAGAUAUCUUAACUACAAACUAUCUAUAAAAAUGCAGAAUAACCAAGGAUAAGCUAUUCAUUUUUUCAUUGCUGCAUAACACAUGACCAAAAAAUUUAGCAGCUUAAAACAACUCCCAUUUAUAAUCUCACAGUCUGAAGGCUGGAAAUCCAGGCAGACUCAACUGGGUUCUUUACUUAGGGAUUCAUAAGGCUGACAUCAAAGUGUCAUUGGUGCUGGGUUCUUCUCUAGUGACUCUGGGGAAGAAUUUGCUUCAAAGCUCCUUUGACCAGAAUUUACUGGCAGAAUUUAACUCCUUGGACUGUAGGCCUGAGGUCCUUGUCUUCUCCCUGGCUGACAGCUGUAUACCACUCUCAGCACACAGGGGCUGCCCUGUGGUGCUUGUCCCAUGAUCCUCCCCAUCUCAGCAAUGAAAAACCCCACUUACAUCAAAGCCUCCCCCUCUGACUUCUUCUUCUGCUCCCAUAUGGAGAAACUCUCAGCUUUGUCUUUUUUUUUUAAUCAUUAUUUUUUAUUAUUUUUCUCACUGCCUCUUUAGUCACUGAUCUCUACUUUGAAAGUGAUUAGACUUAGGUCCACCAGAAUAAUUGCUCUUUUAACUCAAAGACCACUGAUUGAUAACCUUUACUACAGCUGCAAAAUCCCUUUUGCCAUGAAAUGCAACAUAAUUUUGAGUGUGAUAUCACAUCUCAUUCACAGGCCUGAGGGUUAAGGCUGGAUAUCUUAGGGAGGGGGAAAUAGGUGACCUCAUAAGAAGAUGGCCCUAAAUAUGUACACUGUGUCUAUUUUAUGAUAAAUCUCCCCCCUCAUUAAGAGUUGGGGAUAGAAAGGAGGGAGGAGAAAAAUAUAUUUAAAAAAAGAUUUGGGGAUAACCUCCAUAUACUCCCCAUGUCUAACACAACUUCUAGCAAAAUGUGGGUUCACACUGAAUAGGGAUACAAGGCUUCCUUUGGGACAUCUGCUUUUCAAUCUCAGGUUCCAUAAAGAAAAUAAUAUUGAAAGUAUCUUUGUCUUAGUUAAUUGUAUACUUUCCCUGCACCCCGCUGUCUAGCAAGAUACCUAGCACAUAGAGGGGCAAAAUAAAUAAGGUUGAGUGAAUACGUUAAUGAAUGAAUGAAUGAAUGAAUGGAGGAAUUUUUCACUUAGGCUUAACUAAGGGUCUCCGCUGAUAUCUGCAUACCUAGCUUAGUUGUUGUUGGGUUUGUUUGUUUGUUUGUUUUGAAAAAAAAAUGUUGAAGAAAGCUCAGUGUUAAGAUUUUGGUUUUGGUUUUGCCUUUUAGGCACUUGUUUUUUUUCUUUUUUUAAGCUUUCCUUCAGGGAUUUGUUCCAUAUGAUCAACUCACACGGAUUAAUGCUAUUCUCACCCAUCAUAGCGGGGCCAGGCCCUCCCAGUCUAGAGGGAGAUUUGCGUAGAUAGAAGGGGAGUUCUGCCCGAGGCAACAGUGGGCACCUGAGGGAGGGCCAAUUUCAAGAGCCUUCUUUUUGAAAGAAUUUAAGAGCCUCAUCAGUCUGCCAAGGAAUUUGAGUGCACAGUGCAUAACAGGCUAGAUUCUAGCUCAGCAAAAAGUAAAAGACUCCUACCAAAUAAAGCACAGAAAAAUCUUCCAGCAACCAUCCACAAAAAUGACAAAGCCUUUUCACUGUUUCUUGUUUGUUUAUUUUUAUUUAUUUAUUUAUUUGAGACGGGGUUUCACUCUCGUUGCUCAGGCUGGAGGGCAAUAGCGUGAUCUCAGCUCACCUCCACCUCCCGGGUUCAAAUGAUUCUCCUGCCUCAGCCUCCCGAGUAGCCAGGAUUACAGACGCCUGCCACCAUGCCCAGCAAAUUUUUGUAGUUUUAGUAGAGAUGGGGUUUCACCAUGUUGGCCAGGCUGGAUUUAAACUCCUGACCUCAAGUGAUCCACCUGCCUUGGACUCCCAAAGUGCUGGGAUUACAGACUCAGCCACCGUGUCUGGCCUAUUUUUAUUUUUAUUUUUGAGAUGGAGUCUCAUUCUGUCGCCCAGGCUGGAGUGCAGUGGUGCAAUCUUGGCUCACUGCAACCUCCACCUCCCGCAUUCAAGCGAUUCUCCUGCCUUAGCCUCCAGAAUAGCCGGGAUUACAGGCGCCCACUACCACACCCUGCUAAUUUUUUGUAUGUUUAGUAGAGAUGGGAUUUCACCACGUCGGCCAGGCUGGUCUUGAAAUCCUGACUUCGAGUGAUCCUCCCAACCUCGGCUUCCCAAAGUGCCGGAAUUACAGGUGUAAGCCACUGCGCCCAGCCCUCCUCACUGUUUGAAAGCUUCCUCCUUGAAAACUGGAUUGACAGAUACUGGAUUGAAGUGAGGCAGCUUAAUGCUGAAGAGGACAGCUGGCAAUGUAGCAGGGAAACAGAGCCUACCUUGCUGCAGAUAAAUCAAUAUUCUGCUCCAGGCCAUUAGUGGCUGGUUAUUAUUUAAAAACAAAAACCUGCAAAUGUAUUGGUUAUCCCUUGAUCAGACUGUGUCUCCAAAGGAUUCUUUUAUGAUUCUUCCAUUUUCCAAGUUGCACAAAACAAUUUCCCAUUAACCAUAUCCUCGCAUAUUCUGCUUACUAAACCAAAGCCAUUUACAUAAUGGGUAAUUUCACACACACAUUAGCUAAAUAUAGGUGUAAACAAAUACGUUGCUAAAGUUUGGACACAUUUGGAGAAUGCAAAACAUCUAGACUAUGGGAGAGGUGGAGGAUUGGAGCCAGGUACAUACACGUUCCAAAUUAAGGAAAACCAAAAAUAUAUAUACAUAUAUAUAUUAUAAAUAUUAGAUACAUAUUACAAAUAUUACAUAUAUGUAAUACAUAUGUAAUAUACAUAUAUAUAAUAUUUGUAAUAGCACUUGCUACACUCUUCUAAGCACUGCUCUUGUAUUAAUUCAUUUAAUCCUCCCAGAUACUGUAUGGUGUAAUUGUACUGUUAUUUUCAUCUCCCACUGACAGAUGGGGAAUGAUGAUAUAGAGAGGGUCAGUACUUUGCCCAAAAGCAGAACUGGGCACUGAAGCCAGGAAGACUGGCUCCAGAGUCCAUGUGCAUAACUAUUAGACUACUGAAGUCAUCCUCAGAGGACUGACAAGAAUUCUCGACAGAAAUAUAGUUAUAAUUAAGCAUUUAUCAGGCUGUGCUUGGACCCAUUUUCUGGUAACCAAAAGUCAUGUAGCACUGGAUACUGACCAUUUGCAUUCCCAUUGUUCCUAUAGACAAGAUUUCUAAUGUGAGAAUUGUAAGACUUUCACUUAAGAAUUGCCUAAGAUGUUUUUCAGAUCCUGAAUUCCAGAAAAACAGCUGAUGUCAACUAAUGUGAAGACCCGCACAGAGGCACGGCAUCGACCUGAGAGUACAGUUUCUUCAUCUCCCUGUCUAUGAUUUUACCCCGCACUUUUUGACCAAUCAACAAUCUUCACACUUUGGCCCAUUUCAAUACUCUUAAAAACCCUAGCCCCAAAUUCUUUGGGGAGAUGGAUUUGAGGUUUCCUAGCAUCUCCUCAUUCAGCGGCCCUACAGUUUUAUCUCUUUCUCUAUUGCAAACCAGGGUCUCUUCUAGGCAUAUCAACUUGCUACAUUGGGCAACAGAUUUGUUACAGUUACACCAAUACUGCUAAUCUACUCCGUGGUGGGUUUUCCAAACUCAAUAACCAUUUUACUAUCAUGUGCCUAGGUUUUGACCCUUGCUACCAGUGGGCUCCAGGUACCUUUCUCUAUUUCACUAAGCCUCAAUUUCCACAUUUGUACAACAGAGAUAAAAAUAGAGCCAAGCCCAAAGGGAUAAUCGCAAUGAGGAUUAUUCACUGCUUCAUUCAAAAGCUAUUCACUGCGCACCUACUGUGUGCCAAGCACUGUCCUGAACAACUAACAGAAUUGACAAGACUUCUUCCUUCAGGGAGCAUAUAAUAAACAAGAUAGAGUGGGGAAGAGGCAAUAAACACAAUUGUAGCAAAACUAUUAUACUACAUUGGAAGCUAAUAUAAACUAUUUAAAGAAAUAUAAAGUAUAAAAAAGAAUGGGUGUGCUGGGUUGGAGGGCUGUUGGAAUUUCAAAUAGGGGCCGGGGUGCAGUGGCUAAUGCCUGUAACCCUAGCACUUUGGGAGGCCAACGUGGGUGGAUCACCUGAGGUCAGGAGUUCAAGAUCAGCCUGGCCAACAUGUGAAACUCUGUCUCUACUAAAAAUACAAAAAUUCACCGGAUACGGUGGCACACGCCUGUAGUCCCAGCUACUCGGGAGUCUGAGGGAGGAGAAUUGUUUGAACUCUGAAGGCAGAGGUUGCAGUGAGUCGAGAUCUCACCACUGCACUCCAGCAUGGGCCACAGAGUGAGACUCUGUCUCAAAAACAAACGAACAAACAAAAUUCAAAUCGGGGAGAGGGGCCAGGAAAGUCCUCAGUGAGGAUGUGACAUUUGGGCAACACCACGUUUCAAAGGGUCUCCUGUAUUUAAUUUGCAAUUUAGGUAAAGUAAAACAUAAAAAUCACUUAGCUUAGUGCCUGAUACAACAUGGGUACUCAACAAAUAUGUAGUUACCUGCCCAGUAAGGCAAAAUAAUUAUUUUUUAAAUUUUUACUUAAAAACAAUAGUAGGCUGGGUGCGGUGGCUCACGCCUGUAAUCCCAGCACUUUGGGAGGCCCAGGUGGGCGGAUCACGAGGUCAGAAGAUUGAGACCAUC